AUAAACCUACGGGGCGCAGCAGUGGGGGAUAUUGGACAAUGGGGGAAACCCUGAUCCAGCGACGCCGCGUGAGUGAAGAAGUAUUUCGGUAUGUAAAGCUCUGUCAGCAGGGAAGAAAGAAAUGACGGUACCUGACCAAGAAGCCCCGGCUAACUACGUGCCAGCAGCCGCGGUAAUACGUAGGGGGCAAGCGUUAUCCGGAAUUACUGGGUGUAAAGGGAGCGUAGACGGUAAUGUAAGUCUGGAGUGAAAGGCGGGGG
rnacentral:rRNA from 1 species